rnacentral:pre_miRNA from 1 species
AUAACAACAUUCGGACCGUCGGUCUACCGAGCAAUAUCACCUGCUCGGUGGAAGAUUUUCCGUUUGUCGUAUACC